CACGUAGGGUGCGAGCGUUGUCCGGAAUUAUUGGGCGUAAAGAGCUCGUAGGCGGUGUGUCGCGUCGGCCGUGAAAACCUGCAGCUUAACUGUGGGCUUGCGGUCGAUACGGGCAUCACUGGAGUUCGGCAGGGGAGACUGGAAUUCCUGGUGUAGCGGUGAAAUGCGCAGAUAGUCAGGAGGAACACCGGUGGCGAAGGCGGGUCUCUGGGGCCGAUAACUGACGC
rnacentral:rRNA from 1 species